rnacentral:rRNA from 1 species
AUGCCUAUAUUUCUUGACCAAACUACGUGCCAGCAGUCGCGGCAAUACGUUACAGAUAAGUGUUAUUCAUCUUUAAUAGGUUUAAAGGGUACCUAGACGGUAAAUCAAGCCUUUACCAGGGACUAGUUUACUAGAGUUACUUGUGAGGGGGCAUAAAAGUACUAAGUGUGGAGAGAUAAAAUUCUUUGAUACCUUUUUUCGUAAGAAAAAUAAUGGCACUGGUAUAGGUGAAAGCAUCUUCUUAUGUGAUAACUGACGUUGAGGGACGAAGGCUUUUUAUAGCGACCAGGAUUAGAUACCCCAGUAGUAUAAGCAGAAAAUGAUGAGUGUCAUAGAUUAGAUAAAUAUUUAUUCUAUAAAUUAAAGUGUAAGCACUCCACCUCAAGAGUAAUUUGGCAACAUUGGAACUGAAAUCAUUAGACCGUUUCUGAAACCAGUAGUGAAGUAUGUUGUUUAAUUAGAUAAUACGCAAAAAACCUUACCACAAUUUGAAUAUUUACAUUUUUAUUUUAUAAUAAAGAUCUAUUUACAAGCGCUGCACGGUUGUCUUUAGUUAAUGUCGCGAGACUUUGGUUAGUUCCAUUAAAUUAACGUAAACCCAUGCUUUAUUUUUAUAUAAAGUAGCUCCCCACUAUAUUGGAUAUGAUAAUAGGGAUCAAGACAAGCCAUCAUGGCCUUAAUAUUGUGGGCUAUAGACGUGCCACAUA